rnacentral:lncRNA from 10 species
AUUUACCGAUGUGGUUGUCCUCGAUGUGCUCGAUGAGGUCGGCCAGGGUGGGGAAGUGGAGUCCGCAGCCCCCGAAUCGGCAGGGGUUCCUGUUGAGAUUAAAGUAAAUGCAUUUACCAGCAUACAUGUCAUGGAAGACUGACUCUGCACCAUGCUCUGUGACAAAAGGCUUCAAGAUUAAACCGGUUUGGUAAAUCCUCUUCUUGGAGAUGCACAAUGCAUGUCUGCCUA